rnacentral:rRNA from 1 species
ACAGAGGUGGCGAGCGUUGUUCGGAUUUAUUGGGCGUAAAGCGAACGCAGGUGGUUUGGUAAGUCAGGGGUGAAAGUCCGCAGCUUAACUGCGGCACUGCCUUUGAUACUGCCUUUCUUGAGUGCAUGAGGGGGAAGCGGAAUUCCGAGUGUAGAGGUGAAAUUCGUAGAUAUUCGGAGGAACACCGGUGGCGAAGGCGGCUUCCUGGCAUGUAACUGACACUCAUGUUCGAAAGCGUGGGUAGCAAACAGGAUUAGAUACCCUGGUAGUCCACGCCCUAAACGAUGGGCACUAGGUGUGGGAGGUAUCGACCCCUUCCGUGCCGCAGCUAACGCAUUAAGUGCCCCGCCUGGGGAGUACGGCCGCAAGGUUG